GUGACUCCUGCGAUUUCUGCGACUUACCACCGAAUGAAAAAGCUACAUCUGUCCACACAGAAAAUUGCAUCUCAACAAACCUGUCAUUGGUACCCGAACUACAUUUCAGUCACUCAGUAAAGUGAUAACUCAAAAUAUCAUUGUCAGCAGAUCUGGAGAAAUUGCCACUGCGUCUUUAGACCGUUUUCGUCAGACGAGAGACACAGUUCUGGUUGCUGUACGUAUCUAUCCACAUCAAGGCUGUUGGGAG